UGGGGAAUUUUGGACAAUGGGCGAAAGCCUGAUCCAGCAAUGCCGCGUGUGUGAAGAAGGCCUUCGGGUUGUAAAGCACUUUUGUCCGGAAAGAAAUCCUUGGCUCUAAUACAGUCGGGGGAUGACGGUACCGGAAGAAUAAGCACCGGCUAACUACGUGCCAGCAGCCGCGGUAAUACGUAGGGUGCAAGCGUUAAUCGGAAUUACUGGGCGUAAAGCGUGCGCAGGCGGUUUGCUAAGACCGAUGUGAAAUCCCCGGGCUCAACCUGGGAACUGCAUUGGUGACUGGCAGGCUAGAGUAUGGCAGAGGGGGGUAGAAUUCCACGUGUAGCAGUGAAAUGCGUAGAGAUGUGGAGGAAUACCGAUGGCGAAGGCAGCCCCCUGGGCCAAUACUGACGCUCAUGCACGAAAGCGUGGGGAGCAAAACAGGAUUAGUACCCUGGUAGUCCACGCCCUAAACCGAUGUCAACUAGUUGUUGGGGAUUCAUUUCCUUAGUAACGUAGCUAACGCGU
rnacentral:rRNA from 1 species